AACGAACGCUGGCGGCAUGCCUAACACGUGCAAGUCGAACGAGACCUUCGGGUCUAGUGGCGCACGGGUGCGUAACGCGUGGGAACCUGCCCUUAGGUUCGGAAUAACUCCCCGAAAGGGGUGCUAAUACCGGAUAAUGUCUUCGGACCAAAGAUUUAUCGCCUUUGGAUGGGCCCGCGUUGGAUUAGCUAGUUGGUAGGGUAAAAGCCUACCAAGGCGACGAUCCGUAGCUGGUCUGAGAGGAUGAUCAGCCACACUGGGACUGAGACACGGCCCAGGCUCCUACGGGAGGCAGCAGUGGGGAAUAUUGGACAAUGGGCGAAAGCCUGAUCCAGCAAUGCCGCGUGAGUGAUGAAGGCCUUAGGGUUGUAAAGCUCUUUUACCCGGGAUGAUAAUGACAGUACCGGGAGAAUAAGCUCCGGCUAACUCCGUG
rnacentral:rRNA from 1 species